UACGUAGGUGGCAAGCGUUGUCCGGAUUUACUGGGCGUAAAGCGUGCGCAGGCGGACUUUUAAGUAGGAAGUGAAAGGUUGGAGCUCAACUCCAACACUGCUUCCUAUACUGGGAGUCUUGAGUGACGGAGAGGAAAAGGGAACGACACGUGUAGCGGUGAAAUGCGUUGAUAUGUGUCGGAACACCAAUGGCGAAAGCACUUUUCUGGACGUCUACUGACGCUCAUGCACGAAAGCCAAGGUAGCAAACAGG
rnacentral:rRNA from 1 species